rnacentral:rRNA from 1 species
CCACCCGAGACUCAGUGAAAUUGAACUCGCUGUGAAGAUGCAGUGUACCCGCGGCAAGACGGAAAGACCCCGUGAACCUUUACUAUAGCUUGACACUGAACAUUGAGCCUUGAUGUGUAGGAUAGGUGGGAGGCUUUGAAGUGUGGACGCCAGUCUGCAUGGAGCCGACCUUGAAAUACCACCCUUUAAUGUUUGAUGUUCUAACGUGGACCCGUAAUCCGGGUUGCGGACAGUGUCUGGUGGGUAGUUUGACUGGGGCGGUCUCCUCCUAAAGAGUAACGGAGGAGCACGAAGGUUGGCUAAUCCUGGUCGGACAUCAGGAGGUUAGUGCAAUGGCAUAAGCCAGCUUGACUGCGAGCGUGACGGCGCGAGCAGGUGCGAAAGCAGGUCAUAGUGAUCCGGUGGUUCUGAAUGGAAGGGCCAUCGCUCAACGGAUAAAAGGUACUCCGGGGAUAACAGGCUGAUACCGCCCAAGAGUUCAUAUCGACGGCGGUGUUUGGCACCUCGAUGUCGGCUCAUCACAUCCUGGGGCUGAAGUAGGUCCCAAGGGUAUGGCUGUUCGCCAUUUAAAGUGGUACGCGAGCUGGGUUUAGAACGUCGUGAGACAGUUCGGUCCCUAUCUGCCGUGGGCGCUGGAGAACUGAGGGGGGCUGCUCCUAGUACGAGAGGACCGGAGUGGACGCAUCACUGGUGUUCGGGUUGUCAUGCCAAUGGCACUGCCCGGUAGCUAAAUGCGGAAGAGAUAAGUGCUGAAAGCAUCUAAGCACGAAACUUGCCCCGA